rnacentral:rRNA from 1 species
AUUGUACGCUGGCGGCAUGCCUUACACAUGCAAGUCGAACGGCAGCACGGGUGCUUGCACCUGGUGGCGAGUGGCGAACGGGUGAGUAAUACAUCGGAACGUACCUUAUCGUGGGGGAUAGCGCAGCGAAAGCUGUGCUAAUACCGCAUACGCCCUGAGGGGGAAAGUGGGGGAACACAAGACCUCGCGCGAUUAGAGCGGCCGAUGCCUGAUUAGCUUGUUGGUGGGGUAAAAGCCCACCAAGGCGACGAUCAGUAGCUGGUCUGAGAGGACGAUCAGCCACACUGGGACUGAGACACGGCCCAGACUCCUACGGGAGGCAGCAGUGGGGAAUUUUGGACAAUGGGGGCAACCCUGAUCCAGCAAUGCCGCGUGAGUGAAGAAGGCCUUCGGGUUGUAAAGCUCUUUUGUCAGGGAAGAAACACCGGCUCUAACACAGUCUGGGAAUGACGGUACCUGAAGAAUAAGCACCGGCUAACUACGUGCCAGCCGCCGCCGUAA